rnacentral:misc_RNA from 1 species
AAGUCGUAACAAGGUUUCCGUAGGUGAACCUGCGGAAGGAUCAUUAACACUCAUCUAUACUAUCUUGAUAGUAUAUUUGAUUAUACACAUCAUCCGUGCUCCUUUUCUUUUUCUCACACCUUUCAACCCAUUUCUUUUAUUGUUUUUAUUCUUAAUUUGACUUUUGCUUGCAAAAGAUUCAAAUUAGUUUUGUUAAUUGAUGAAUACACAACAAUAUAUUUUAUUGUGUGUAUGCAUUAAAAGCACAACUCUUAACAAUGGAUAUCUCGGCUCUC